rnacentral:rRNA from 1 species
UCUACGGGGGUCAGCAGUGGGGAAUAUUGCGCAAUGGGCGAAAGCCUGACGCAGCGACGCCGCGUGAGGGAUGAAGGUCUUCGGAUCGUUAACCUCUGUCAGCAGGGAAGAACGGUCACUGUGCUAAUCAGCAGUGAAUUGACGGUACCUGCAAGGGAAGCACCGGCUAACUCCGUGCCAGCAGCCGCGGUAAUACGGGGGGUGCGAUCGUUGAUCGGAAUUACUGGGCGUAAAGCGCUCGUAGGCGGUAUGUCAAGUCAAGGGUGAAAUCCCCGAGCUCAACGUGGGAACUGCAUUUGAUACUGGCAAACUGGAGUGUGUGAGAGGAUAGUGGAAUUCCAGGUGUAGGAGUGAAAUGCGUAGAUAUCUGGAGGAACAUCAGUGGCGAAGGCGACUAUCUGGCACAUAACUGACGCUGAGGAGCGAAAGCGUGGGUAGCAAACAGGAUUAGAUACCCUGGUAGUC